UACGUAGGGGGCAAGCGUUGUCCGGAUUUAUUGGGCGUAAAGAGCGUGUAGGCGGCCUUACAGGUCAGCUGUGAAAACUCGAGGCUCAACCUCGAGACGUCGGUUGAAACCGUAUGGCUAGAGUCCGGAAGAGGAGAGUGGGAUUCCCGGUGUAGCGGUGAAAUGCGCAGAUAUCGGGAAGAACACCCGUGGCGAAGGCGGCUCUCUGGGACGGUACUGACGCUGAGACGCGAAAGCGUGGGGAGCGAACAGG
rnacentral:rRNA from 1 species